rnacentral:snRNA from 1 species
GUGCUCACUUUGGCAGCACAUAUACUAAAAUUGGAAUGAUACAGAGAAGAUUAGCAUGGCCCCUGUGCAAGGAUGACAGGCAAAUUCAUGAAGUGUUCCAGGGAUCU